rnacentral:rRNA from 1 species
UACGAAGGGGGCUAGCGUUGUUCGGACUUACUGGGCGUAAAGCGCGUGUAGGCGGCUAAGUAAGUCGGGCGUGAAAUCCCACGGCUCAACCGUGGAAGUGCACUCGAAACUGCAUAGCUAGAGUCCUGGAGAGGAAGGUGGAAUGCUUGGUGUAGAGGUGAAAUUCGUAGAUAUCAAGCGGAACACCGGUGGCGAAGGCGGCCUUCUGGACAGUGACUGACGCUGAGACGCGAAAGCGUGGGGAGCAAACAGG